rnacentral:rRNA from 1 species
AUUGAACGCUGGCGGAAUGCUUUACACAUGCAAGUCGAACGGCAGCACGGACUUCGGUCUGGUGGCGAGUGGCGAACGGGUGAGUAAUGUAUCGGAACGUGCCCAGUCGUGGGGGAUAACGUAGUGAAAAUUACGCUAAUACCGCAUACGAGCUAUGGAUGAAAGCGGGGGACCGCAAGACCUAGCGCGAUUGGAGCGGCCGAGAUCAGCUUAGGUAGUUGGUGGGGGAAAGGCCCACCAAGCCAACGAUCUUUAGCUGGUCUGAGAGGACGACCAGCCACACUGGAACUGAGACACGGUCCAGACUCCUACGGGAGGCAGCAGUGGGGAAUUUUGGACAAUGGGCGAAAGCCUGAUCCAGCCAUUCCGCGUGCAGGAUGAAGGCCCUCGGGUUGUAAACUGCUUUUGUACAGAACGAAAAGGUUUCUACUAAUACUAGGAGCUCAUGACGGUACUGUAAGAAUAAGCACCGGCUAACUACGUGCCAGCAGCCGCGGUAA